GUUGUUUAAAAAUGGCCGCCCCCCCAACGCCGAAAACUAUUGCCGCAGCCGUUGCUCAAGGAAACUAUACCGCUAUUCAACAGCUGAUUGCCAAUAAUCAUGAUGUAAACAAACGAUCUCCUGAUGGAAUGACUCCACUAGGCCUAGCAGCUUUUUGGGGUUAUUCCGAUAUUGUUAGUUUGCUUUUACAGUCAAAUGCUGACAUCAAUGGAACAAAUGCGGGAACAAACUGGACUCCUCUGCAUUGCGCCGCUUUUCAAGAUCAUGGAAAAGUUAUUAUGAAAUUAAUGGAAUACAAUCCUAGAGUAGAUAUUAGAGAUCAUCAGGGAAGAACGGCUGUUGAUUUUGCAUCAGCACUUGAUUCAAUAUGGCCAUUUUUUGCUGGUACUAUUAUUUUAUUACCGUUUAAUACUAUGCUUAUACUUAAUUUAAUGAUUUUAGCGAGAAAUUGUAAAAGAACACACAAAUCCGAACUUUUAAGAAUGAAUAUAAUUACUAAGGUCAGUUGUUGAUAUCGUAUUAUUUUAAAUUGAGAAUUUUUCUCUACGUUUCCAAAAAUACAUUCCGUUAUUUUUUUGCAAUUUAAUUCUCUGUUAACUACUCCACAGCUUUCCAGUCAAGAAGAGGAAGCAGUGCCAUCAAAUCAACAAACGUAUUUUUCCCGACCAGGAUCGGCUUACGUUUUCAGGGAUCCACUUUCUGGAGAAGCUCGACGAUAUAAUAAAAAUCAAGUUUGUUACACUGUUUCUUUUUGUUUUGAAAUAUUGAUUAUAAAAAUUUAAGGAGGCUGCCGCAAUGACUGGUGAUGUUCUUGCCGACAUAAACGAAGGAGUUGGAGAGAUACAACGAGAAACCCAAAGAUUGAAAAUAUGGAGCAAUUAAUGAAAAUAGUUAUUUGAAAGAACAGACAUUUUCCACAUAGGAUAUUUUUUAUGUCUAGGCACGCGUUUUGACUUAAUGUUAGCUUUAAUUUCGUGAGUCCUUACAGUUUACAAUACUACUUUUUUUUGUUACGUGAUUUACCCUUUGUUAAUAUGUUUACUUCAAAUUGGAAGUAAUUAAUUUUAGUUGAUAGCAAAUUCUAGUAAUAGUUUAAAUAUAAAAAAAUUGUAUUCAAUUCUCUUUAAGCAAAAAAACUAUCCUUCAAGAUGAG
rnacentral:misc_RNA from 1 species